rnacentral:snRNA from 1 species
AGCUUUGCACAGCAGCAGUGUUGCAGCCAAUGAGAUUUAUCCGAGGUGUGAUUAUCGCUAAUUGAAAACUUUUCCCAAUACCCUGCCAUGAUGACUUGCAAUAUAGUCGGCAUUGGCAAUGUUUGACAGUCUCUGUACAGAGA